GAACUAAGUCACUGAAGAAGUAAACCGAUGAAAACCGAUUUGGAUUGUCUGAGAGAUGUAAUUGACUGAGUUCAGGACAAAUGUGUCAACUAUAUUGUAGGCCUAUUACUUUAACAAUAAAAUCACAAUAACUGUUUAUUUUUUGGCUGUAGGACACAAGUAAAAGGAGAAGAAUGCUGCUCAGCUGGGUCGGCGAAGCUCUUGGAUAUCAUCUGCAUCUAUGAAGGCACCGGUAGGCACAGAGUCAUUCCGGUAGGCACGGAGUCGUUCCUCGAUGGACGUGAUGACCUGGCACCAAAACCGCUUAAUGUGUAUGAAGCUGUCUGCAUCGAGGGAAGAACCCAGCACUGAAGUGACACAAAUGAAAGAAGGGGACUUCUGCUCUGCUGGGUCUGCGACACUACUUAUCUGAGGAGUCCUCAAACAUCAGGAUGUA